rnacentral:miRNA from 1 species
UACCUUGGACUUCUGAAGGGCA